rfam:Salmo salar isolate Sally breed double haploid chromosome ssa01, whole genome shotgun sequence.
UAUGUUCCAAUUUGUAAGUCGCUCUGGAUAAGAGUGUCUGCUAAAUGACUUAAA